rnacentral:rRNA from 1 species
UGGGGAAUAUUGGACAAUGGGGGAAACCCUGAUCCAGCGACGCCGCGUGAGUGAAGAAGUAUUUCGGUAUGUAAAGCUCUAUCAGCAGGGAAGAAAAUGACGGUACCUGACUAAGAAGCCCCGGCUGACUACGUGCCAGCAGCCGCGGUAAUACGUAGGGGGCAAGCGUUAUCCGGAUUUACUGGGUGUAAAGGGAGCGCAGACGGCGAAGCAAGUCUGAAGUGAAAUGCAUGGGCUCAACCCAUGAAUUGCUUUGGAAACUGUUUGGCUUGAGUGUCGGAGGGGUAAGCGGAAUUCCUAGUGUAGCGGUGAAAUGCGUAGAUAUUAGGAGGAACACCGGAGGCGAAGGCGGCUUACUGGACGACAACUGACGUUGAGGCUCGAAGGCGUGGGGAGCAAACAGGAUUAGAUACCCUGGUAGUCCACGCAGUAAACGAUGAAUACUUGGUGUCGGGGAGGUAAACUCUUCGGUGCCGCAAGCAAACGCAUUAAGUAUUCCACCUGGGGAGUACGUUCGCAAGAAUG